UGGGGAAUUUUGGACAAUGGGCGCAAGCCUGAUCCAGCCAUGCCGCGUGAGUGAAGAAGGCCUUCGGGUUGUAAAGCUCUUUCAGACGGAAAGAAAUCUCUUGGGCGAAUACCCUGGGAGGAUGACGGUACCGUAAGAAGAAGCACCGGCUAACUACGUGCCAGCAGCCGCGGUAAUACGUAGGGUGCAAGCGUUAAUCGGAAUUACUGGGCGUAAAGCGUGCGCAGGCGGUGAUGUAAGACAGAUGUGAAAUCCCCGGGCUCAACCUGGGAACUGCAUUUGUGACUGCAUCGCUGGAGUGCGGCAGAGGGGGAUGGAAUUCCGCGUGUAGCAGUGAAAUGCGUAGAUAUGCGGAGGAACACCGAUGGCGAAGGCAGCCUCCUGGGCCAGUACUGACGCUCAUGCACAAAAGCGUGGGGAGCAAACA
rnacentral:rRNA from 1 species